rnacentral:lncRNA from 1 species
GGAGAGAAAUAAAAUAUUUAUUGCUCUGACACAGUCUGUGACCUGCUUCUUUUUAUUACUAUAGUUCAGAGGAUGUUAAAAGGGUUUUAUUAAUGUGGUUGGGGCUAAACACAGACUUGCUAAGUAGUGUUUUCUUUCUGUACCAUCUUAUUUUGUAAUGUUCAUCUAUUAUUUAAAUACUGAUCAUUUUUCAACUAAAAUUUCUUUUACUUAUUUUGUAUCACAUGCUGCUGAUCAUUGUCUUGAUGAUAAAUCAAUAUCUAGGCCUCAAAAAUGAGUCAUUGGGAAGUUCACCAAUGUCUUUGUCUUUUAUUUUCCUGUUCCAGAUCAAUUUUCUAGAGAUAAGCUUGUCAAAUUCCCAGGGAAAUUGUGUGAGUGAUCAGGCAACCAUCUCUUUGAAAUCACAGACAAACAGAUUUCAAACUCAGAUGUUUGAACUAUAUUAUUAAAGGAAGUGACAAGGACAUGGUUAAAGAGGAUGGAUUAAUACUGCAUAGAACCAAGAUGAGGUAUGUGGGGUAAUUACAGAACUAAUGAGCUAGUUAAUCAUUCUGAGAACAAACCAUUGCUUCCAUUUGCUUCACCUGGUGGGAGGUUUGAAUAGAUGACUUCUAAAGUUCUCACAGGAUGCAGGAUUCUAUGACUGUGCAAUUUAAUAUAAUUCAUGAUUUGGGUCCCUGAUUAAUUAGAAAGUUUGAGAAGAAUAUUAAGUCUUUUAGGCCAUUACAGUAAUGUUCUCAGCCAUCUUAGUAAGAGGAAAGAGUUAAUAUCCAAAUUUUCCAAUUUAUUAUUGUGGAUCAAUAAAGGGGUGAGCAUGGUAAAAUGUUGAAAAUCA